AUAAGAGUUAUUAGCAGAGAUAACUUUUUAUGACUUAUCCAUAGAGCAGGGCAAACAUCUAAUUACUGAAUAUCUGUUCUUCCUAUUGUCCUGACAAUGACCUUUCUCCCCCUCACAACUCCAAGGUGUGUUGCUUUAUCUUUAACUUAGAAUGUCAUGGAUACCUGUUGGGGGAGAAACUAUUCUAGGAGCUGAGUGCUGCCAGACCCGUGAGCUAAAUUGGAGCCAGACUGCUGAUUGUUUUCCAUAAAUCCCCUUAGAGACUAUCUGAUCAACCCUUCUCCUACAUCCUGUGAUGUGCUGGCUGGUUCCUGGAGCAGGCAGUUGAGCUGCCCUGUCCCAGGCAAGCAGAUUUAUAGCCAGUUGGUUACAAGCACACAUAAUAACCAGGACUUGCUAUCGGCAUCUGACGUGGAGGGCAGACUGAUGGGCCUGAGCCCUCAACCUCUGGAAUCUGAUGCUGUCUCCAGAUUCCACAUAUAAGUGAAAUAAUAUGGUAUUUGAUUUC